rnacentral:rRNA from 1 species
GAUGAACGCUGGCGGCGUGCCUAAUACAUGCAAGUCGAGCGAACGGACGAGAAGCUUGCUUCUCUGAUGUUAGCGGCGGACGGGUGAGUAACACGUGGAUAACCUACCUAUAAGACUGGGAUAACUUCGGGAAACCGGAGCUAAUACCGGAUAAUAUUUUGAACCGCAUGGUUCAAAAGUGAAAGACGGUCUUGCUGUCACUUAUAGAUGGAUCCGCGCUGCAUUAGCUAGUUGGUAAGGUAACGGCUUACCAAGGCAACGAUGCAUAGCCGACCUGAGAGGGUGAUCGGCCACACUGGAACUGAGACACGGUCCAGACUCCUACGGGAGGCAGCAGUAGGGAAUCUUCCGCAAUGGGCGAAAGCCUGACGGAGCAACGCCGCGUGAGUGAUGAAGGUCUUCGGAUCGUAUAACUCUGUUAUUAGGGAAGAACAUAUGUGUAAGUAACUGUGCACAUCUUGACGGUACCUAAUCAGAAAGCCACGGCUAGCUACGUG